rnacentral:rRNA from 1 species
ACGUUAGCGGCGGACGGGUGAGUAACACGUGGGUAACCUACCUAUAAGACUGGGAUAACUCCGGGAAACCGGGGCUAAUACCGGAUAAUACAUGAAACCGCAUGGUUUCAUGAUGAAAGACGGUUUUGCUGUCACUUAUAGAUGGACCCGCGGCGUAUUAGCUAGUUGGUAAGGUAACGGCUUACCAAGGCAACGAUACGUAGCCGACCUGAGAGGGUGAUCGGCCACACUGGAACUGAGACACGGUCCAGACUCCUACGGGAGGCAGCAGUC